AGUAAUCAGAGAUAAGUUCACCUUCUUUCAUAUGCAAAGCUUCAAACUCUCCUCUUAGUGUUUGAAGACGUACCUUCUUUACUUGAUCGGCUCCCUUGUAAGAAGUUUGAAGUUUCUCCCAUGCUUCUUUAGCCGUCGUUGCUCCCGAGACCUUCUCGAACGUGUCUUCAUCUAAUCCUUGAUAGAUUAUACAGAGAGCCUUCUUGUCUCUCUUCCUUGAGUCUCUCAAACUAUCCUUUUGAGUUUGAGAUAAAGUACCUUCAUUCUCCGGGAUUACAAGGCCUUUCUCGACUAUCUCCCACACGUCGUGUGCGNNNNNAAUAGGUGGAGAAAGUGUUUAAGUAUUUGAGAGAGGAUAUGAAACUUGUUGGAAGGGAAUGCUACUUAUAUUAUUGAGUGUUUGUAAUUUUUGGCUUGAUUUACAAAUGAC
rnacentral:lncRNA from 1 species